AAUAGUUCUAAGGGGACAUUCUUAGCAGCAGGAGAGCAGGUGGAACCCGAGGACAGGAGAGGAGUGGAGGAGACAGCAAGUGACUUUUUAGAUACCAGAGAAGAAAAUAGAUUACCAAGUGCUUCAUAAUACUGCAAGCAGAAUGGAAGGUUCUCGAUGUAAAUAUUCCAGGUCUAUGGAGACAUAUUUACAGAGGGGGAAAACUUCACUCAGUAGCCAGUCAGGAUAUAUAGAUAUCCACUUAGGCGACAAGUUCAUGUACGGUGUGAAGCUGGCUCUUGCCCAUGGAUUUGUAAUGGCAGUCUGAGAAAAUGACCGCUGACCUUUAACUCAAUGGAGGCUCGGAAGAGGUCAGGAGGAAUAACUCUCACCGCAAUCUCUCUCGCCACAGGGGUUUGAAAGCGGUGGGGGGGACCCCAAGAACCAAGGAGUGUGUGAUCAGCAAAACUUUGAGCUAUUUCUGAAGACAAAAAGUGAAGGAAGGUGAUAUGUUUACCUGGGACAAAAAAAUCACCUGUCAUGGAGAAACAGACCAACCCUUUCCAAGCAAGAAUAUAACCUCAGCAAAUCAGGAAAAGCAAUCGGGAAAAAGACAAAGUGUGUUUGUGUGUGGGGAGACCCAGAAUGUAGUUCAAAAUCAGGGUGUUCCCCUCUGAGAAGAGAUGAAAUCAAGACUCCAAGCCAUCAGCCACAAUAGCUUUGCUUAAAGGAAACAGCUCAGAAUUAAGUAGAGUGUGUUUGUUUGUUUUAAUGAGUUGAUCUUUCCCCCACCACUUACAAACGUCUUUGCAUCAACUAAAGGGGAAAUCUGGAUUAUUUGAUGGGAAAUUGUCAUCA